AUUGAACGCUGGCGGAAUGCUUUACACAUGCAAGUCGAACGGUAGAGGGGGCAACCCCUUGAGAGUGGCGAACGGGUGAGUAAUAUAUCGGAACGUGCCCAGUCGUGGGGAUAACGUAGCGAAAGUUACGCUAAUACCGCAUACGAUCUACGGAUGAAAGCGGGGGACUCGCAAGAGCCUCGCGCGAUUGGAGCGGCCGAUAUCAGAUUAGGUAGUUGGUGGGGUAAAGGCUCACCAAGCCAACGAUCUGUAGCUGGUCUGAGAGGACGACCAGCCACACUGGAACUGAGACACGGUCCAGACUCCUACGGGAGGCAGCAGUGGGGAAUUUUGGGCAAUGGACGCAAGUCUGAUCCAGCCAUUCCGCGUGCAGGAUGAAGGCCCUCGGGUUGUAACUGCUUUGUACGGAACGAAAGGUUCUAUUAAUACUAGGAGCUCAUGACGGUACCGUAAGAAUAAGCACCGGCUAACUACGUGCCAGCAGCCGCGGUAAAGUGACUAC
rnacentral:rRNA from 1 species